UUGCAUAAUCCAGAGAUUUAUUUUGCCUUAAUGAGCUCUGCUUUCUGGGUACAGAUGGUGUAUAACAAUAUUGGAGAAGAGUUAGCCAUUCAAGAAUUGACACUUAUCCAAUAACUAUUUGAUUUUCAUAUUUCUGACCUGGAGGAGUUGGCAGUGGGUAGACUUAUUUUAGUACCUUACAGCCUCCUUCCUCAAACACAAGCGCUUUAAGUCAUGUUUUUGUUAAUCUAAUAAACCUCUAGUUUUAGUGAUACGGAAAUUGUGAAGAUUGCUUCUCUGUAACUCUCAGGCCUGCUCCUGAUACAAACCUUACUCACUUCAGUUCCUAUAGAAUUUCAGUAGAAAUCCAAAGCCUUGUCCAGUAGGUCUGUGAAUUCCUUGGGGACUUGUCUUUUCUGUGGAUUUAGGAUUCCCA
rnacentral:lncRNA from 1 species